rnacentral:rRNA from 1 species
GAUGAACGAUGGCGGCGUGCCUAAUACAUGCAAGUCGAACGAAACUUCUUUAUCACCGAGUGCUUGCACUCACCGAUAAAGAGUUGAGUGGCGAACGGGUGAGUAACACGUGGGCAACCUGCCCAAAAGAGGGGGAUAACACUUGGAAACAGGUGCUAAUACCGCAUAACCAUAGUUACCGCAUGGUAACUAUGUAAAAGGUGGCUAUACUACCGCUUUUGGAUGGGCCCGCGGCGCAUUAGCUAGUUGGUAGGGUAAAGGCUUACCAAGGCAAUGAUGCGUAGCCGAAUUGAGAGGUUGAUCGGCCACAUUGGGACUGAGACACGGCCCAAACUCCUACGGGAGGCAGCAGUAGGGAAUCUUCCACAAUGGGCGAAAGCCUGAUGGAGCAACGCCGCGUGGGUGAAGAAGGUCUUCGGAUCGUAAAACCCUGUUGUUAGAGAAGAAAGUGCGUGAGAGUAACUGUUCACGUUUCGACGGUAUCUAACCAGAAAGCCACUGCUAACUACGUG